GUGAGUCAUCGAAUCUUUGAACGCACAUUGCGCCCGCCGGUAUCCCGGCGGGCAUACCUGUCCGAGCGUCGUUACAACGCCCAGGUCUCUAUCUGGUGUUGGGGCACCGGUUAUUACUUGUAAAUAAUCGCGCCCUGGAAGCUAGUUGGCGGUCUACGUACAGCCCAAGCGAAGUAGUUUUUUUUCACUGCCUAGUAACGCUUAGGGGAUAAUUUGUAUGCUUGACCUGCUAAUUAAACCAGUUUUACUGAAAAGUCGACCUCGGAUCAGGUAGGAAUACCCGCUGAACUUAAGCAUAUC
rnacentral:misc_RNA from 1 species